AGAUCAAAGAGCAAGCCAUUUCUAUAGUUAAAACCUGACGUGGUUGAUGAAAUAAUCAGAUAGUUACACAUGGUAUGCCACAUGUACCUCGUUCUAAUGUACAUAGACUACUUUUUAACAGUAGAAAUGGAUAAAAAUUUUAAAA
rnacentral:pre_miRNA from 1 species